GAAGAAGAGUGAAUACAGGUGUAUGUUUGGUUCGAACAUGGGAAUCAGAAUCGAAAUCAGAAUUAAAUAGUUGGUAAUUGGAAUGAGUUUGGUGAAAGUAUUUUACAUGU